UACGAAGGGGGCUAGCGUUGUUCGGAAUUACUGGGCGUAAAGCGCACGUAGGCGGACUAUUAAGUCAGGGGUGAAAUCCCGGGGCUCAACCCCGGAACUGCCUUUGAUACUGGUAGUCUCGAGUCCGGAAGAGGUGAGUGGAAUUCCGAGUGUAGAGGUGAAAUUCGUAGAUAUUCGGAGGAACACCAGUGGCGAAGGCGGCUCACUGGUCCGGUACUGACGCUGAGGUGCGAAAGCGUGGGGAGCAAACA
rnacentral:rRNA from 1 species